rnacentral:misc_RNA from 1 species
GACCCAUGAUUUACAAAAUAAGGAAGCCACACUCUAAGUCAUUGAUUGACAUACUCCAGCAGGAAGGUAAAUACAUGGAUAAUCAUGUUAAAGGAUCAACUAAGAAGCUCACAACUAUAGUUAUAAAUAUUAGCAUAAUGAAUAUAACAUGCUGCUACAAAAGUCAAAUUGGAGAAAAAUAGUAAUAUUUAAUCUCAGAAGUAAAUAAAAAAGCAAACAAAUAUAUCUCUUGUAAAGUAUAACUACAUGGCAUGACAAACUUCGAAAGCAUAAGAUAAAUAAAAUCCAAUCCUAAACUACUCAUAUCCUGAUUUUAGUAUACU